rnacentral:tRNA from 2 species
GGUACUAUAGUGUAGCGGUUAUCACUCGGGAUUUUGAUCUCGUACGCCUUCCCGGAACCCAGGUUCGAUUCCUGGUAGUACCU